rnacentral:rRNA from 1 species
AUUGAACGCUGGCGGCAUGCUUUACACAUGCAAGUCGAACGGUAACAGGCCUUCGGGUGCUGACGAGUGGCGAACGGGUGAGUAAUGCAUCGGAACGUACCCAGAGGUGGGGGAUAACGCAGCGAAAGCUGUGCUAAUACCGCAUGUGAUCUGAGGAUGAAAGCGGGGGACCGCGCAGCAAUGUUUGGCCUCGCGCCUUUGGAGCGGCCGAUGUCGGAUUAGCUAGUUGGUGGGGUAAAGGCCUACCAAGGCGACGAUCCGUAGCUGGUCUGAGAGGACGACCAGCCACACUGGGACUGAGACACGGCCCAGACUCCUACGGGAGGCAGCAGUGGGGAACUUUGGACAAUGGGCGCAAGCCUGAUCCAGCAAUGCCGCGUGCGGGAAGAAGGCCUUCGGGUUGUAAACCGCUUUUGGCAGGAACGAAACGGUGUCCGCUAAUACCGGGCGCUAAUGACGGUACCUGCAGAAUAAGCACCGGCUAACUACGUG